CUACGUAGGGGGCGAGCGUUGUCCGGAAUGAUUGGGCGUAAAGGGCGCGUAGGCGGCCCGGUAAGUCUGGAGUGAAAGUCCUGUUUUUAAGAUGGGAAUUGCUUUGGAUACUGUCGGGCUUGAGUGCAGGAGAGGUAAGUGGAAUUCCCAGUGUAGCGGUGAAAUGGGUAGAGAUUGGGAGGAACACCAGUGGCGAAGGCGACUUACUGGACUGGAACUGACGCUGAGGCGCGAAAGUGUGGGGAGCAAACAGGAUUAGAUACCCUGGUAGUCCACACUGUAAACGAUGAAUGCUAGGUGUAGGGGGUAUCGACCCCUUCUGUGCCGCAGUCAACACAAUAAGCAUUCCGCCUGGGGAGUACGGCCGCAAGGUUGAAACUCAAAUGAAUUGACGGGG
rnacentral:rRNA from 1 species